rnacentral:tRNA from 1 species
AAUGAAGUGCCUGAUAAAAAGGAUUAUUUUGAUAGAAUAAAUCAUGUAACUCGUUACCUUCAUUA